UGGGGAAUUUUGGACAAUGGGCGAAAGCCUGAUCCAGCAAUGCCGCGUGUGUGAAGAAGGCCUUCGGGUUGUAAAGCACUUUUGUCCGGAAAGAAAUCCUUGGCUCUAAUACAGUCGGGGGAUGACGGUACCGGAAGAAUAAGCACCGGCUAACUACGUGCCAGCAGCCGCGGUAAUACGUAGGGUGCAAGCGUUAAUCGGAAUUACUGGGCGUAAAGCGUGCGCAGGCGGUUUGCUAAGACCGAUGUGAAAUCCCCGGCGUCACCUGGAUGGAUGUGAUCUGGCAGGCUAGAGUAUGGCAGAGGGGGGUAGAAUUCCACGUGUAGCAGUGAAAUGCGUAGAGAUGUGGAGGAAUACCGAUGGCGAAGGCAGCCCCUGGCCAAGUACUGACGCUCAUGCACGAAAGCGUGGGGAGCAAAC
rnacentral:rRNA from 1 species